GAUGAACGCUGGCGGCGUGCUUAACACAUGCAAGUCGAACGGAAAGGCACUGAUUUUUUGGUCUGAUGGAGUGGGGGUCGCGUGCGUAACAGGUGUGUAUCCUGAUCUUGUUUUUGGGAUAACUUAACGUAAGUGGGGCUAAUACAAUAUAGGAGCCCAUCUAGCAUGGAAGGGAUUGGAACUUUUCGCCGGUUGGGGAUGAACUAGCGGAUUAUCAGCUAGUUGGUUGGGUAGUGGCUUACCCAGCCUUUGACGGGUCCCCGACCUGAGAGGGAGACCGGCGACAUGGGGACUGAGAUACGGCCCAGACGCGUACGGUAGACAGCAGGGGGGAAUAUGGCACAAUGGGCGGAAGCCGGAUGCAGCAACCCCGCGGGCGGGAAGACGGCCUGCGGGGUAAAAACCGCAUCAGCCUAAUACGAAGCUGGAGUGACGGUAAUGAGUAAAGAAGCACCGGCUAACUACGUG
rnacentral:rRNA from 1 species